UACGUAGGGGGCAAGCGUUGUCCGGAUUUAUUGGGCGUAAAGAGCGUGUAGGCGGCCAGAUAGGUCCGUUGUGAAAACUCGAGGCUCAACCUCGAGACGCCGAUGGAAACCAUUUGGCUAGAGUCCGGAAGAGGAGAGUGGAAUUCCCGGUGUAGCGGUGAAAUGCGCAGAUAUCGGGAAGAACACCCGUGGCUAAGGCGGCUCUCUAGUACGGUACUGACGCUGAGACGACGAAAGCGGUGGGGAGCCGAACGAGG
rnacentral:rRNA from 1 species